AGAGUUUGAUCCUGGCUCAGAGUGAACGCUGGCGGCAGGCCUAACACAUGCAAGUCGAACGGCAGCACAGCAGUAGCAAUACUGUGGGUGGCGAGUGGCGGACGGGUGAGGAAUGCGUCGGAAUCUGCCUUUUUGUGGGGGAUAACGUAGGGAAACUUACGCUAAUACCGCAUACGACCUACGGGUGAAAGUGGGGGACCUUCGGGCCUCACGCAGAAAGAUGAGCCGACGCCGGAUUAGCUAGUUGGCGGGGUAAAGGCCCACCAAGGCGACGAUCCGUAGCUGGUCUGAGAGGAUGAUCAGCCACACUGGGACUGAGACAAACCCAGACUCCUACGGGAGGCAGCAGUGGGGAAUAUUGGACAAUGGGCGUAGGCUUUUCCAGCCAUGCCGCGUGUGUGAAGAAGGUCGGCUUUAAGAAGCACUUUUGUCCGGAAAGAAAAGCUUCGGGUUAAUAACCUGGAGUCAUGACGGUACCGGAA
rnacentral:rRNA from 1 species